UGCAAUUGGAAAUGCUAUCAGAGGUUAUCUUCCAGUGACUUUGGAGAGAAUGGGCUGUACUUGAAGCCUACUUUUUCCAAAACUCUGUUUUCCUUUUCUUGUUACUUAUUUCUGUCUUUCCCCUACAGCACAUAGCAGUGUUUUUUCAGACAAUUUUUCUCCAUUUUCUUCAGCUGCUAAUGGUAGCUCAUUUUUUUCUCUUGCAGCUUUUUUGUACCAUGUCCUGCAACAUUCCCUCAGCUGAAUCUCUCGGGCAGAGAAAGAAUAUGUACCUGUGCCCCUAUAACAUGGCCUUGGGCAGCAGAAGGGUUUAUACAUCCCAUAUGGAGCUUUAUGACUUCAGUUUGAUACUAUGCUGGAACUUAGAAGCAUGCCUCAUGCAGUGUGUGCACCUUUUCCACUUGGCAUAUGCCUGGUUGGCUUCUCAGAGAGAGCAGUGUACUUCCUCCUCACCCACGGAAUGCUGUGCUGCUACCUUCGAUGCCAUCCUCAAACCCUUCUCUGAACAUGAACCCCGCAUUUCCUCAUAG
rnacentral:lncRNA from 1 species